rnacentral:rRNA from 1 species
CGAACGCUGGCGGCGUGCUUCACACAUGCAAGUCGAACGGAAAGGCCCCUUUGGGGGUCCUCGAGUGGCGAACGGGUGAGUAACACGUGAGUAACCUGCCCUUGACUUCGGGAUAACUUCAGGAAACUGGGGCUAAUACCGGAUAGGAAUCCUUGCUGCAUGGUGGGGGUUGGAAAGCUUCGGCGGUUUUGGAUGGACUCGCGGCUUAUCAGCUUGUUGGUGGGGUAGUGGCUUACCAAGGCUUUGACGGGUAGCCGGCCUGAGAGGGCGACCGGCCACAUUGGGACUGAGAUACGGCCCAGACUCCUACGGGAGGCAGCAGUGGGGAAUAUUGCACAAUGGGCGGAAGCCUGAUGCAGCAACGCCGCGUGCGGGAUGACGGCCUUCGGGUUGUAAACCGCUUUCAGCAGGGGCGAAGCUUGUGGUGACGGUACCUGCAGAAGAAGCACCGGCUAACUACGUG